rnacentral:misc_RNA from 1 species
AAAAAAAAAAAAAAAAAGAGAAAUCCAAUGCAAACCUGUAGGAAGCUUGUUCAUUGCAAUGAGUUUAAAACAGGGGUUUUGGUAGUCCUUUAAAAAAUCAAAAGACGAAAGGAGCAUCUGGUAAAGCAUUUUGAAAAAUUGAAAGUGAUUAGGGCUUUUUUUCUCUUUAAAAGGGUAAACAGGGUGGGGAGAGAGAAUUAGAGUGAGAGAUGAGCUCCCAGUGACCUCAAAGAGGAUGAAAAAUCUAAGAAGCCUUGCAGGGAGGUUGUAUGGCGAGUCUCGACUUUUAGGGUUAGAUGCUGCAUUGAGACUUGAGAGAAAUAUGCAAAAACAGAUAAGAAGAUUAGUGACUUCCUCAAUAAGGAGACUUCAACACAUCCAAUUGAAUGUUAUUGUAGAAAAAGGUAUUGGUUCUUAUGUGUGAGAAAUAAACAAUGGGUUUAGAUUAAUUGAUAAGGAGAAUAAGAAGAGUUUAUUUGUUUUCUCCCCUUGUACUACAGAACUACAAUACCGUUUUAGAAAAAUUGCAAAGGAGAUUACCAAAUAAAAACAGAGAGAAACACUUUUGUUACUUUGUAUUCGUGUAUUAUAUGGAUAUGUAUAGAUAUGGAUUAUGCAGCGCUGCAAUGUGAACUAAUUAUAUGUUUACAAUGGAACUGCAGUAGAUGGUUGAUUAGAAUUUGCUGUUUGUGACAACUAUAUUCAUUAGUGGAGCUAUUGAAGCAUUGAUGAAGCAUCAUAUGACAAACUAGCUUGUGUAAAAUUUUCAGCGUCAUCAUUUAAAUGGGAUGUUUUGGAAUGCAUGGUUGGAAUUUAGGAAUUAUGAACUCUGGCUGCAUCAUUUUGCUUUAUUGGAGUUUUAGAAAGCUUAUUUUUAUUGCUUGAAUUUGACCAAGUGAGACGUUUGGGUUUGAACUGCCCUGAUCCUCUGGUCCAAAUUAUGUAGCCAAUUCAGACAAUCAUUAGCUUCUUCAGAUCAUUGUGAUUGGUAGUCAAAGCAAGCUUAUAUAAAUUGUUAUGUGAUUAUAGAUGAUGGUCCAGGAUCGCUUAGAGACGGAUGCCGGAGGAAAGAGCCACUAUGGAUUGUCUUUGAAGUGUCAGGCACAAUUCAUCUUAGGUCAUUCUUGAGUGUCUCUUCUUAUAAAACUAUUGAUGGCCGGGGUCAAACAGUAAAACUCACUGGCAAAGGUUUGAGGCUGAAGGAAUGCGAGCACGUUAUCAUAUGCAAUCUAGAGUUGGAAGGGGGAAGGGGAGAUGACGUUGAUGGCAUUCAGAUAAAACCCAAGUCCAAGCACAUUUGGAUAGAUCGUUGUAGCCUUCGUGAUUACGAUGAUGGCUUGAUAGAUAUCACACGAGAAAGCACCGAUAUUACCAUUUCAAGGUGCCGCUUUUCACAGCAUGACAAGACAAUUCUCAUUGGAGGUCAUCCACCCCAGAGCAGUGACAGAUGCAUUCGGGUAACCAUUCACCAUUGUUUUUUUGAUGGGACUCGUCAGCGGCACCCUCGUGUUAGAUUUGCCAAAGUACAUUUAUACAAUAAUUACACGAGGAACUGGGGCAUUUAUGCUGUUUGUGCCAGUGUAGAAUCUCAGAUAUACUCCCAGUGCAACAUUUACGAAGCAGGAGAGAAGAAGGUUGCUUUUAAGUAUCUUACUGAGAAGGCACCUGACAAGGAGAAAGCAGGGACUGGCUACGUUAAGUCUGAAGGAGACUUAUUUACGACUGGAACUCAAGCAGGGUUAAUGUCAGAAAGUGGAGAACACUGUAAGUUUCAUCCCAGUGAGUACUACCCCGAGUGGACGGUGGAAGCUCCUACUGCCAAGCUUAAAAAGACUCUCCAACAUUGUACUGGAUGGCAGUGUGUUCCACGGCCAGCUGAUACAGUAUAGACUGCAUUGUAAAGUUGGAUGAAGUAUAUUUGUGCACUUUAAGUAAUUUUCUUCUUGGUCCUUCAGAAUCUCAAAUCUCGGUUGAAAGUGUGUCUGUAUAGGAUAUAUAGCAUAACAUGUCUUUAACAAAAUCAAAAUAGUUUUGUUAAAGGGUGUGUGUUGUCCCCGUCCUAUGUAUUCCCUGUCAAAAAAAAAAAAAAAAAGUUGUGCUUGAGUAUGGUGUGGUGAUGUUUACCAUCUUUUAGGUGUCUCCACGCAUAGGGGUUGGUCCUUCAGGAUUUUACAUCACUUGUGAAAAGUGUUUAGCGUGUCUUGACAAAAUUAUCAUGAUUUUGUCAAAAAUAAUGUAUUAUCCUUAUUGUGUGUGUUCCAUGUAAUGAUAAUAAGGCUUAUUGGCUAAAUAAAUCCAAUCCUUGAUGUCGGUUGCUGUAUAUAUUUAAAACUUUUAAUUUUAAAUAAUUUAAUAAUAAUUUUUAAAAUUAAAAAAUUGAAUAAUUUUUUGC